UGCCAGCCGCCGCGGUAAUACGGAGGGUGCGAGCGUUAAUCGGAAUUACUGGGCGUAAAGCGCACGCAGGCGGUUUGUUAAGCUAGAUGUGAAAGCCCCGGGCUCAACCUGGGAUGGUCAUUUAGAACUGGCAGACUAGAGUCUUGGAGAGGGGAGUGGAAUUCCAGGUGUAGCGGUGAAAUGCGUAGAUAUCUGGAGGAACAUCAGUGUCGAAGGCGGCUCCCUGGCCAAAGACUGACGCUCAUUUGCUAACGUUUGGGUCGAGAACAGUCUUCGCUC
rnacentral:rRNA from 1 species